UGGNUUAACUGGGGGCUUGCGGUGGGUGCGGGCCGGCUUGAGUGCGGUAGGGGAGACUGGAACUCCUGGUGUAGCGGUGGAAUGCGCAGAUAUCAGGAAGAACACCGGUGGCGAAGGCGGGUNUCUGGGCCGUUACUGACGCUGAGGAGCGAAAGCGUGGGGAGCGAACAGGAUUAGAUACCCUGGUAGUCCACGCCGUAAACGUUGGGCACUAGGUGUGGGGGGCCUUUUCCGGGUCUUCCGCGCCGUAGCUAACGCAUUAAGUGCCCCGCCUGGGGAGUACGGCCGCAAGGCUAAAACUCAAAGGAAUUGACGGGGGCCCGCACAAGCGGCGGAGCAUGCGGAUUAAUUCGAUGCAACGCGAAGAACCUUACCAAGGCUUGACAUGUGCCGGUCGGCUCCGGGGACGGGGCUUCCUCCUUGUGGGGCCGGUUCACAGGUGGUGCAUGGUUGUCGUCAGCUCGUGUCGUGAGAUGUUGGGUUAAGUCCCGCAACGAGCGCAACCCUUGUCCCGUGUUGCCAGCACGUUGUGGUGGGGACUCGCGGGAGACUGCCGGGGUCAACUCGGAGGAAGGUGGGGAUGACGUCAAAUCAUCAUGCCCCUUAUGUCUUGGGCUUCACGCAUGCUACAAUGGCCGGUACAGAGGGCUGCGAUACCGUGAGGUGGAGCGAAUCCCUUAAAGCCGGUCUCAGUUCGGAUCGGUGUCUGCAACUCGACACCGUGAAGUUGGAGUC
rnacentral:rRNA from 1 species